CAGCUCACCGGAUAAGACAGCUGGAUGAUAGCCGGGCUGAAGACUCUGCUUGACUAGCUGAGAGGAGGUGCAUGGCCGUCGUCAGUUCGUACUGUGAAGCAUCCUGUUAAGUCAGGCAACGAGCGAGACCCACGCCAACAGUUGCCAGCAUGUCCUCCGGGAUGAUGGGGACACUGUUGGGACCGCCUCUGCUAAAGAGGAGGAAGGAAUGGGCAACGGUAGGUCAGCAUGCCCCGAAUUAUCCGGGCUACACGCGGGCUACAAUGGUCAGGACAAUGGGUAUCGACACCGAGAGGUGGAGGCAAUCUCCUAAACCUGUCCUUAGUUCGGAUUGUGGGCUGCAACUCGCCCACAUGAAGCUGGAAUCCGUAGUAAUCGCGUUUCAAAAUAGCGCGGUGAUAUCGUCCUGCUCCUU
rnacentral:rRNA from 1 species